AGAGUUUGAUCCUGGCUCAGGAUGAACGCUGGCGGCGUGCCUAAUACAUGCAAGUCGAGCGAACCACUUCGGUGGUGAGCGGCGAACGGGUGAGUAACACGUAGGUGAUCUGCCCAUCAGACGGGGACAACGAUUGGAAACGAUCGCUAAUACCGGAUAGGACGAAAGUUUAAAGGUGCUUCUGGCACCGCUGAUGGAUGAGCCUGCGGCGCAUUAGCUAGUUGGUAGGGUAAAGGCCUACCAAGGCGACGAUGCGUAGCCGACCUGAGAGGGUGAACGGCCACACUGGGACUGAGACACGGCCCAGACUCCUACGGGAGGCAGCAGUAGGGAAUUUUCGGCAAUGGGGGAAACCCUGACCGAGCAACGCCGCGUGAGGGAAGAAGUAUUUCGGUAUGUAAACCUCUGUUAUAAAGGAAGAACGGUAUGAAUAGGAAAUGAUUCAUAAGUGACGGUACUUUAUGAGAAAGCCACGGCUAACUACGUGCCAGCAGCCGCGGUAAUACGUAGGUGGCGAGCGUUAUCCGGAAUCAUUGGGCGUAAAGAGGGAGCAGGCGGCAAUAGAGGUCUGCGGUGAAAGCCUGAAGCUAAACUUCAGUAAGCCGUGGAAACCAAAUAGCUAGAGUGCAGUAGAGGAUCGUGGAAUUCCAUGUGUAGCGGUGAAAUGCGUAGAUAUAUGGAGGAACACCAGUGGCGAAGGCGACGAUCUGGCCUGCAACUGACGCUCAGUCCCGAAAGCGUGGGGAGCAAAUAGGAUUAGAUACCCUAGUAGUCCACGCCGUAAACGAUGAGUACUAAGUGUUGGAUGUCAAAGUUCAGUGCUGCAGUUAACGCAAUAAGUACUCCGCCUGAGUAGUACGUUCGCAAGAAUGAAACUCAAAGGAAUUGACGGGGGCCCGCACAAGCGGUGGAGCAUGUGGUUUAAUUCGAAGCAACGCGAAGAACCUUACCAAGUCUUGACAUCCC
rnacentral:rRNA from 1 species